ACCAAUUAUAUUAUAUUAUCACGCGUUAUUAUCAUUAGUGUUGGAACAGCAGGAGUUGGGAAGACAACUCUUGCUAAGAAAAUCUAUAAAGAUCCGGAAAUUCAAAGCAAGUAUGAGUGUCGCGCAUAGAAGAUUGAAGAAGGCUAAUGGGUGCGGUUUUUGAAUGAAGAAGAAAGCAUGGAACUACUAUGUGGCAAGGUGUUUGGUGAUUAGAUUUGCCCUCCUCAAUCGCCAAGCAUUGUGAAGGUCUUCCUCUCUUGACCGUCACCGUUGCCGGCAUCAUUUCAAUAUCCAAGCAGAGCAGAGACCUGGUCUACUGGAAUGACAUGGCGGAAAUGAGGAAUUCAGUACUUUUCCCGAGUUACGACUACUUAUCUCAAGAUCUUGAAAUCAUUUUUCUGUUUAUGGGAGUUUUUCCUCAAGAUUAUGCCACUCCCCCUUCCAAGAUCAUCAGUAUGCUCAAGGCUGAGGGGUUGCUUUCCUGGAACGAAUCGGGAUAUAUCUGAAAGAGCUAGCUUAUGACUACAGCCUUGUUUUACGCAUCUUGAAGAGCGUUGAUAAAAAUUGUUUUCACUGGCAUACUGAGUCUUGAUUAUCCCUUCAACCAUAUCCAAACUUUUCAACCUUCGAGUCUUGAUUAUCCAUCCACAUAUGAAAAUUAGACGCCGUGGAGCUCCAUCACACGUACCAAUACAAGUGUGGGGCAUGGAAAAGUUAGAGCAUAUCGAGAUAUUGGGAAAAAGCCUCGUAGCUCCAUCUCAAGCUGUUUCAUUGAAAAAGCUCACAACUCUGGUAGGGGUGAAUGCUAGUAUUUGUACUAUCUUCAAACUCUCCAAAAGAAUUCCUAAGAAUUACUAUGUGAAUAAUGAGGAUCAAUUAAUUAAGAGAGUUAGUAGCUUUGCAUAAAGAUUAUCUUUUAAAUUUUUACUGAAAAAUUGGUAUUAAUGUUGAUGACAUUGGCAAGGGGGCACAGAUGAGGAUACAGAGGCGAGCACCAACGUUAAAGAGCACGACAACCCUUUGAGGCUUUGAAUUUGCUGCUAGAGAGUGAUACACAUGUUAAUAAAAGUAUGAAUUUUCUCAACAAA